CCUACGGGGGGCAGCAGUGGGGAAUAUUGCACAAUGGGGGAAACCCUGAUGCAGCGACGCCGCGUGAGUGAAGAAGUAUUUCGGUAUGUAAAGCUCUAUCAGCAGGGAAGAAAAAAGACGGUACCUGACUAAGAAGCGCCGGCUAACUACGUGCCAGCAGCCGCGGUAAUACGUAGGGGGCAAGCGGUAUCCGGAUUUAUUGGGUUUAAAGGGUGCGUAGGCGGACUGUUAAGUCAGCGGUAAAAGCCCGGGGCUCAACCGCGGCGAGCCGUUGAAACUGGCUGUCUUGAGAUGUCGAGAGGUAAGUGGAAUGCGCAGUGUAGCGGUGAAAUGCUUAGAUAUUGCGCAGAACUCCGAUUGCGAAGGCAGCAUACCGGCGGCGAUCUGACGCUGAGGCACGAAAGUGUGGGUAUCGAACAGGAUUAGAUACCCGAGUAGUC
rnacentral:rRNA from 1 species